CGGGUGCGUAACGCGUAUGCAACCUACCUUUUACAGAGGGAUAGCCCAGAGAAAUUUGGAUUAAUACCUCAUGGUAUAUAUUAUUCGCAUGUUUGAUAUAUUAAAGUUCCAACGGUAAAAGAUGGGCAUGCGUCCUAUUAGCUAGAUGGUAAGGUAACGGCUUACCAUGGCAACGAUAGGUAGGGGUCCUGAGAGGGAGAUCCCCCACACUGGUACUGAGACACGGACCAGACUCCUACGGGAGGCAGCAGUGAGGAAUAUUGGACAAUGGGCGCAAGCCUGAUCCAGCCAUGCCGCGUGCAGGAAGAAGCAUCUAUGGUGUG
rnacentral:rRNA from 1 species